rnacentral:rRNA from 1 species
GAGUUUGAUCCUGGCUCAGGACGAACGCUGGCGGCGUGCCUAAUACAUGCAAGUAGAACGCUGAAGAGAGGAGCUUGCUCUUCUUGGAUGAGUUGCGAACGGGUGAGUAACGCGUAGGUAACCUGCCUUGUAGCGGGGGAUAACUAUUGGAAACGAUAGCUAAUACCGCAUAACAAUGGAUGACACAUGUCAUUUAUUUGAAAGGGGCAAUUGCUCCACUACAAGAUGGACCUGCGUUGUAUUAGCUAGUAGGUGAGGUAAUGGCUCACCUAGGCGACGAUACAUAGCCGACCUGAGAGGGUGAUCGGCCACACUGGGACUGAGACACGGCCCAGACUCCUACGGGAGGCAGCAGUAGGGAAUCUUCGGCAAUGGGGGCAACCCUGACCGAGCAACGCCGCGUGAGUGAAGAAGGUUUUCGGAUCGUAAAGCUCUGUUGUAAGUCAAGAACGGGUGUGAGAGUGGAAAGUUCACACU